GAAAUUCAGCCCGCGGAGGCUUCGGGAUCAAGGAGUAAGCGGAGGAGACGGACUCCGGGUCAAAUUGCAGCGGAUAAGAGGAGAGUGUGGGAGGAUAGUUUUGUGGGCAGAAAGUUCAAAAAUGAGAGGCAAGUGGAUGCUACGGCAUUGUCCGAUGAUCACAUGGGGCUUCGGUACGUCAUGAGGAAAGGUAAAUCGCCAAAAAGGGAGCUUUCGUUGCACUAGACAAGGUUUUGCCCGAGCAGAAGUUGACUUGCCAAGGCGGAACCUGUCAUCGCCCGAGCCGAAGCAGAUUUGCCCGAGCAGAAGCCCGAUGGCCAGAGCAGAAGUUGAAGUUGCCAAGGCAGGAACUCAUUUGCCCGAGCAGAAACCCGAUGGCCAAGGCAGAGGCAGAGUUGCCCGAGCAGAACCCAUCAUUGCCCGAGCAAGAAGCAGAUUUGCCCGAGCAAGAGGAAGGCGGCCAAGGCAAUGACCCACUAUUGGCCUCGGCAGCGAUGUAAACUUUUACAUCCCAUCGAUGCCGAGCCCCUUAGUGGCAAAUACCCCUUAACCACUUCGGCAGCGAUGGGACAAAUCAUCUUCCAUCGAUGCCGAACCCCAUAGUAGAGCAUUCUAAGGCCGUUGCCAUCGAUGCCGAGGGGCUUAAGAGCGGAUUUUCUGAGCAUCUUGGGAAUAUUCCAGGCGCGGACCUUCGGAGUAUAAAAGCCUUUGUCAUUAUUUUGUACAAAAAAGUAGACUUAGAUUUGCUUACCUAAUUUUAGAUCUAGAAUUAGAUUCAAUUUGCAUUUUGAAUUGUUCUUGCUGUUCUUCAUUUUUCCAGCACUUAUAUUUUAAUUUUCUGCCCUUAGUUGUUAAUUUUUGUUAUUGUUGCCUUAAUUAAAGUUGUUUAUUUUCUCC